GCAGGGUAGCCUAGUGGACAUGGCAUCUGCCCGGUAAGCGGAACACUGUGGGUUCGAUUCCCAUCCCUGGACA
rnacentral:tRNA from 1 species